CCUACGGGUGGCAGCAGUGAGGAAUAUUGGUCAAUGGACGAGAGUCUGAACCAGCCAAGUAGCGUGAAGGAUGACUGCCCUAUGGGUUGUAAACUUCUUUUAUAUGGGAAUAAAACGUUCCACGUGUGGGAUUUUGUAUGUACCAUAUGAAUAAGGAUCGGCUAACUCCGUGCCAGCAGCCGCGGUAAUACGGAGGAUCCGAGCGUUAUCCGGAUUUAUUGGGUUUAAAGGGAGCGUAGGUGGAGUGUUAAGUCAGUUGUGAAAGUUUGCGGCUCAACCGUAAAAUUGCAGUUGAAACUGGCAGUCUUGAGUACAGUAGAGGUGGGCGGAAUUCGUGGUGUAGCGGUGAAAUGCUUAGAUAUCACGAAGAACUCCGAUUGCGAAGGCAGUUCACUGGACUGCAACUGACACUGAGGCUCGAAAGUGUGGGUAUCAAACAGGAUUAGAUACCCCUGUAGUC
rnacentral:rRNA from 1 species